rnacentral:sRNA from 1 species
AACACAUGCAAGUCGAAUGGUAACAGGAAACAGCUUGCUGUUUCGCUGACUAGUGGCGGACGGGUGAGUAAUGUCUGGGAAACUGCCUGAUGGAGGGGGAUAACUACUGGAAACGGUAGCUAAUACCGCAUAACGUCGCAAGACCAAAGAGGGGGACCUUCGGGCCUCUUGCCAUCAGAUGUGCCCAGAUGGGAUUAGCUAGUAGGUGGGGUAACGGCUCACCUAGGCGACGAUCCCUAGCUGGUCUGAGAGGAUGACCAGCCACACUGGAACUGAGACACGGUCCAGACUCCUACGGGAGGCAGCAGUGGGACUCCUACGGGAGGCAGCAGUGGGACUCCUACGGGAGGCAGCAGUGGGACUCCUACGGGAGGCAGCAGUGGGACUCCUACGGGAGGCAGCAGUGGG